GACGAACGCUGGCGGCGUGCUUAACACAUGCAAGUCGAACGGAAAGGCCCCCUUGUGGGGUACUCGAGUGGCGAACGGGUGAGUAACACGUGAGUAACCUACCCUUGACUUUGGGAUAACUUCAGGAAACUGGGGCUAAUACCGGAUAGGAGCUCCAGCUGCAUGGUGGGGGUUGGAAAGUUUCGGCGGUUGGGGAUGGACUCGCGGCUUAUCAGCUUGUUGGUGGGGUAGUGGCUCACCAAGGCUUUGACGGGUAGCCGGCCUGAGAGGGUGACCGGCCACAUUGGGACUGAGAUACGGCCCAGACUCCUACGGGAGGCAGCAGUGGGGAAUAUUGCACAAUGGGCGGAAGCCUGAUGCAGCAACGCCGCGUGCGGGAUGACGGCCUUCGGGUUGUAAACCGCUUUCGCCUGUGACGAAGCGUGAGUGACGGUAAUGGGUAAAGAAGCACCGGCUAACUACGUG
rnacentral:rRNA from 1 species